UACGUAGGGUGCAAGCGUUAUCCGGAAUUAUUGGGCGUAAAGAGCUCGUAGGCGGCUUGGCAAGUCGGGUGUGAAACCUCCAGGCUCAACCUGGAGUCGCCAUUCGAUACUGCUAUGGCUUGAGUUUGGUAGGGGACCACGGAAUUCCUGGUGUAGCGGUGAAAUGCGCAGAUAUCAGGAGGAACACCAGCGGCGAAGGCGGCGCUCUGGGCCGGAACUGACGCUGAGGAGCGAAAGCGUGGGUAGCAAACAGG
rnacentral:rRNA from 1 species